CAGGCCAGGGAGCUGGAGAGCAGAGAGGCAGAGCUAAGACGCCGUGACACCUUCUACAAGGAGCAGCUGGGGCAUAUUGAGAGGAAGAAUGCUGAGAUGUAUAAACUGUCUUCACAGCAAUUCCAUGAGGCAGCUUCGAAGAUGGAGAGCACAAUAAAGCCCCGCAGGGUGGAGCCCGUCUGCUCCGGGCUGCAGGCCCAGAUCCUCCAGUGCUACCGAGAUCGCCUGCAUGAGGUGCUUCUGUGCUCAGACCUGGUCAAGGCGUACCAGCGCUGCGUGAGUGCCGCCCACAAGGGCUGAGGAGCAGACAUCAUUCCCUGUCUUGGCAGUGACUUGGAGCCCUGAAGAAGGGACCAAUCAUGGGACCACAGCCCACAGAGCCCUAGGCCACAACCACCGUGCCCUGCCACGUCCUACUGGGCCCUGAGCGGGGCUGCCAUGUGUUUAGGAAACGAAGUAUACGCUACAGUCUGAAAACAAAUAAAGUAGACGCCUUUGUUUUCCGUU